UAAGCAUAUCAAUAAGCGGAGGAAAAGAAACUAACAAGGAUUCCCCCUAGUAACUGCGAGUGAAGCGGGAAAAGCUCAAAUUUAAAAUCUGGCGGUCUCUGGCCGUCCGAGUUGUAAUCUAGAGAAGUGAUGCCCGCGCUGGACCGUGUACAAGUCUCCUGGAAUGGAGCGUCAUAGAGGGUGAGAAUCCCGUCUCUGACACGGACUACCAGGGCUUUGUGGUACGCUCUCAAAGAGUCGAGUUGUUUGGGAAUGCAGCUCUAAAUGGGUGGUAAAUUCCAUCUAAAGCUAAAUAUUGGCGAGAGACCGAUAGCGAACAAGUACCGUGAGGGAAAGAUGAAAAGAACUUUGGAAAGAGAGUUAAACAGUACGUGAAAUUGCUGAAAGGGAAACGCUUGAAGUCAGUCGCGUUGGCCGGGAAUCAGCCUCACUUUUGUGUGGUGUACUUUCUGGUUGACGGGUCAGCAUCAAUUUUGACCGCUGGAAAAAGGCUUAGGGAAUGUGGCAGCUUCGGCUGUGUUAUAGCCCUUUGUCACAUACAGCGAUUGGGAUUGAGGAACUCAGCACGCCGCAAGGCCGGGUUUCGACCACGUUCGUGCUUAGGAUGCUGGCAUAAUGGCUUUAAGCGACCCGUCUUGAAACACGGACCAAGGAGUCUAACAUGCCUGCGAGUGUUUGGGUGGUAAACCCGAGCGCGUAAUGAAAGUGAAAGUUGAGAUCCCUGUCGUGGGGAGCAUCGACGCCCGGACCUGAACUUUUGUGACGGAUCCGCGGUAGAGCAUGUAUGUUGGGACCCGAAAGAUGGUGAACUAUGCCUGAAUAGGGUGAAGCCAGAGGAAACUCUGGUGGAGGCUCGUAGCGAUUCUGACGUGCAAAUCGAUCGUCAAAUUUGGGUAUAGGGGCGAAAGACUAAUCGAACCAUCUAGUAGCUGGUUCCUGC
rnacentral:rRNA from 1 species